rnacentral:rRNA from 1 species
AUGGUCCACAUAUCAGAUAUUAAACUGAUAAGAACAGAUACUACACUUGAUCUUAGCCAAAAGGCCGAGAAAGGUAUGCUUCUUCUUGGUGGCAAGGGUCUCCUUAUAUAG